GACGAACGCUGGCGGCGUGCUUAACACAUGCAAGUCGAACGGAAAGGCCCGCAUUACUUUGUGGUGGGGGUGCUCGAGUGGCGAACGGGUGAGUAACACGUGGGUGAUCUGCCCUGUACUUCGGGAUAAGCUUGGGAAACUGGGUCUAAUACCGGAUAGGACCAUGGUUUAGUGUCUCAUGGUGGAAAAAUUAUUGUUUUGGUGCGGGAUGAGCUCGCGGCCUAUCAGCUUGUUGGUGGGGUAAUGGCCUACCAAGGCGUCGACGGGUAGCCGGCCUGAGAGGGUGGACGGCCACAUUGGGACUGAGAUACGGCCCAGACUCCUACGGGAGGCAGCAGUGGGGAAUAUUGCACAAUGGGCGCAAGCCUGAUGCAGCGACGCCGCGUGGGGGAUGACGGCCUUCGGGUUGUAAACUCCUUUCGUUAGGGACGAAGCCGCGCCUGUUUUUGGGUGUGGUGACGGUACCUUUGUUAAGAAG
rnacentral:rRNA from 1 species